rnacentral:rRNA from 1 species
UACGUAGGGUGCAAGCGUUGUCCGGAUUUAUUGGGCGUAAAGAGCUCGUAGGCGGUCUGUCGCGUCGGAUGUGAAAACCCAGGGCUCAACCCUGGGCCUGCAUUCGAUACGGGCAGACUAGAGUACGGCAGGGGAGACUGGAAUUCCUGGUGUAGCGGUGAAAUGCGCAGAUAUCAGGAGGAACACCAGUGGCGAAGGCGGUUCUCUGGGCAUUACCUGACGCUGAGGAGCGAAAGUGUGGGGAGCGAACAGG